GCACCCGUCAUUGGGGAGUAGCCGCUCUGCGCCCUGCAGAGGUUUGCGUCAACACACUUGGCCCUCAAGGCCAUGGCGCCGACAGCCUUCAGCCUGGCAAGACCUUUGACCACACUGCCUCCGGAUGGGCCGGGGAUGCCGUGUGGUCUUUUGGUUUCUGCCGGCCCUCGGAGCAC
rnacentral:sRNA from 2 species